rfam:Ipomoea nil DNA, scaffold: scaffold0465, cultivar: Tokyo-kokei standard.
GCGCAUUUAGUGUAGUGGUAUCAUAGUACCUUCCUACGGUACUGAUUGGGGUUCAAUUCCUCGAAUGUGCA